rnacentral:tRNA from 1 species
GACGAGGUGACCGAGCGGUUAAGGUGAUGGACUGCUAAUCCAUUGUGCAUUGCACGCAUAGAUUCGAAUCCCAUCCUCGUCG